rnacentral:tRNA from 2 species
GGGCGUGUAGCUCAGUUGGUAGAGCGUUCCAUUCGCAUGGUGAUUUGGAAAGGUCUUUGGUUCGAUUCCUAACUCGUCCA